rnacentral:rRNA from 1 species
CUGAGAAUCUUCCACAAUGGACGAAAGUCUGAUGGAGCGACAUCGCGUGAGGGAUGAAGGCCUUCGGGUUGUAAACCUCGGAAAUUAUCGAAGAAUGAGUGACAGUAGAUAAUGUAAGCCUCGGCUAACUACGUGCCAGCAGCCGCGGUAAUACGUAGGAGGCAAACGUUGCUCGGAUUUACUGGGCGUAAAGGGUGAGUAGGCGGACUUAUAAGUCUAAGGUGAAAGACCGAAGCUCAACUUCGGAAACGCCUCGGAUACUGUAAGUCUUGGAUAUUGUAGGGGAUGAUGGAAUUCUCGGUGUAGCGGUGGAAUGUGCAGAUAUCGAGAGGAACACCUAUAGCGAAGGCAGUCAUCUGGGCAUUUAUCGACGCUGAAUCACGAAAGCUAGGGGAGCAAACAGG